UCGGGAAUUUUGGGCAAUGGGCGAAAGCCUGACCCAGCAACGCCGCCUGGAGGAUGAAGUCUUUCGGGAUGUAAACUUCGUAAGAAUAGGAAGAAUCAAUGACGGUACUAUUUGUAAGGUCCGGCUAACUACGUGCCAGCAGCCGCGGUAAUACGUAGGGACCAAGCGUUGUUCGGAUUUACUGGGCGUAAAGGGCGCGUAGGCGGCGUGUCAAGUCAGCUGUGAAAUCUCCGAGCUUAACUCGGAACGGUCAGCUGAUACUGUCAUGCUAGAGUACAGGAGGGGCAAUCGGAAUUCUUGGUGUAGCGGUGAAAUGCGUAGAUAUCAAGAGGAACACCUGAGGUGAAGACGGGUUGCUGGGCUGAUACUGACGCUGAGGCGCGGAAGCGUGGGUAGCAAC
rnacentral:rRNA from 1 species